ACGGAAGGCAGCAGUGGGGAAUAUUGGGCAAUGGGCGGAAGCCUGACCCAGCAACGCCGCGUGAGGGAAGAAGGUUUUCGGAUUGUAAACCUCUGUCCUUGGUGACGAAAAGAUGACGGUAGCCAAGGAGGAAGCCCCGGCUAACUACGUGCCAGCAGCCGCGGUAAUACGUAGGGGGCGAGCGUUGUCCGGAAUGACUGGGCGUAAAGGGCGUGUAGGCGGCGCUGUAAGUCCGGAGUGAAAGUCCUGCUUUCAAGGUGGGAAUUGCUUUGGAGACUGCAGACCUUGAGUACGUAAGAGGUAAGUGGAAUUCCCGGUGUAGCGGUGAAAUGCGUAGAGAUCGGGAGGAACACCAGUGGCGAAGGCGACUUACUGGGCCGUAACUGACGCUGAGGCGCGAAAGCGUGGGGAGCGAACAGGAUUAGAUACCCUGGUA
rnacentral:rRNA from 1 species